rnacentral:rRNA from 10 species
AGACCUCAGUGAGACCCUCACCAGUCUCUCUCACCUCUUCACCCCCACCACUUACGGACCCUCCUGUCUGUCCCAGCUACUCUCCAACUACACCCACAUUUCAGCGGGAAGAGGUCUUGGGGCCGAAACGAUCUCAGUCUAUUCUGUAACUUUAAAUGGGUAAGAAGCCUGGCUGGCUGACGUGGAGCCAGGCGUGGAAUGCGAGUGCUUCGUAGGCUACUUUUGGUAAGCAGAACUGGCACUGUGGGAUGAACCAAAUGCCGGGUUAAGAUGCCCGAUGCCAAUGCUCAUCAGACCUCAGAAAAGGUGUUGGUUGAUAUAGACAGCAGGAUGGUGGCCAUGGAAGUUGGAAUCCGCUAAGGAGUGUAACAACUCAGCUGCCAAAUCAACUACUCCUGAGAAUGGAUGGAGCUGGAGCGUUGGGCCCAUACCCGGCCGUUGACAGCAGUUGAGAGUGGACGGGAGCGGCAGGGGCAGUACACCCGUGUGAGUGCAGUGGGGGUCCUCCCGUCCCCUCCUCCCCCCCCUCCCCUGCAGCCCCACGGAGUCUACGCCGGGAGGAGUAGGAGGGCCGCUGCGGUAAGCUUUGAAGCCUAGGGUAUGGGCCCAGGUGGAUCGGCCACAGGUGCAGAUCUUGGUGGUAGUAGCAAAUUUUCAAAUGAGAACUUUGAAGGCCGAAGUGGAGAAGGGUUCCAUGUGAACAGCAGUUGAACAUGGGUCCCAGGUGAACAGCAGUUGAACAUGGUUCAUUUGGUCCUGAGAGAUGGGUGAGUGCCAUUCCGAAGGGAUGGGUGAUGUCCUCUGUUGCCCUCAGCUGAUUGAAAGGGAGUUGGGUUCAGAUCCCCGAAUCCAGAAUGGCGGAGAUGGGCACCAUGAGGCGUCCAGUGCGGUAAUGUGACUGACCCUGGAGAAGCAUGUGGGAGCCCUGGGGAGGGUUCUCUUUUUCUUUGUGAAGGGCAGGGCGCCCUGGAAUGGGUUCGCCCCGAGAGAGGGGACUGUACCUUGGAAAGCAUCGUGGUUCUGGUGGCAUCUGGUGAGCUCUGGCUGGCCCUUGAAAAUCCAGGGUAGACGGUGUAAGUCUCACGCAGGGCCAUACCCAUGUCUGCAGCAGGUCUCCGAGAUGAGCAGACUCUGGCAUGUUGGAACAAUGUAGGUAAAGGAAGUCCUCAAGCCGGAUCCAUAACUUCGGGAUAAGUAUUGGCUGUAAGGGCUGGGUCGGUUGGGCUGGGUGCGUGCCGCCGCUCGACGAGGCCCCGCUGCCCCCCCCAAGCCCCAGGAAUGCCUGUUGUGGCCCUCCCCUGCCCCAACCUGCGUGCUGCUCACUCCUUCCCCCGCCCCCUCUCUCUCUGUCCUCCCCCUCUAUGGAGGUGGUGUGUGGGGGCGGAGGGGUGGCAGUGGCCAUACAGCCCCAGUGGCAGGGCAUGAUCUCCCGUGAGGGGGUGCUGGUGGUGGUGGUGACUCUGGACACAAGCUGGGCCCUUCCCAUGGAUUGCCCCAGUUGUGGCCACCCAUGGGGAGCCCAGUGGGUGCUGGCGUGUCCUGUCUCGCUCUGCGCUGUCAUGCGUGUCAGCGUGGGCAGGGAGUGAUUGGGUCAGUGGGUGGCAGGCGGGGUGGUUCAUUCCCCCACCUCCCCCGCAGCCCCAUCUGUCUCCUGUCCCCCCCUCCGUGGAGGUGGCGGGCCGCGGGCUGGUCCCCGCCACAGGGGCCACGGUUCCAUGCAGCACCUCCGCCGGUGCUUAGCAGCCGACUUAUAGAACUGUGUGCACCAGGGGAAUCCAACUGUUUAAACAAAGCAUCGCGAAGGCCCUCGGGGGGUGUUGCAAAGUGAUUUCUGCCCAGUGCUCUGAAUGUCAAAAUGAAGAAAUUCAAUGAAGUAUGGGUAAAUGGCGGAAGUAACUAUGGCUCUCUUAAGGUAGCCAAAUGCCUCGUCAUCUAACUAGUGACGUGCGUGAAUGGAUGAAUGAGAUUCCCACUGUCCCUACCUACUUACUAUCCAGUGAAACCACAGCCAAGGGAAUGGGGUUGGUGGAAUCAGUGGGGAAAGAAGAACCUGUUGAGCUUGACUGUAGUCUGGCAUGGUGAAGAGACAUGAGAGGUGUAGAAUAAGUGGGAGGUCCCCAGUGCCCCCCUAUCCCCGUGAGGGGGUGGGGUGGGGUCCUGUGGGCUGCCCAUGGAAUACUACUACUCUGAUCGU